rnacentral:rRNA from 1 species
AACGAACGCUGGCGGCAUGCCUAACACAUGCAAGUCGAACGAGACCUUCGGGUCUAUUGGCGCACGGGUGCGUAACGCGUGGGAACCUUCCCUUAGGUUCGGAAUAACUCCCCGAAAGGGGUGCUAAUACCGGAUAAGGUCUUCUGACCAAAGAUUUAUCGCCUUUGGAUGUGCCCUCGUGGGAUUCGCUAGUUGGUAGGGUAAAAGCCUACCAAGGCGACGAUCCAUAGCUGGUCUGAGAGGAUGAUCAGCCACACUGGGACUGAGACACGGCCCAGAAUCCUACGGGAGGCAGCAGUGGGGAAUAUUGGACAAUGGGCGAAAGCCUGAUCCAGCAAUGCCGCGUGAGUGAUGAAGGCAUUAGGGUUGUAAAGCUCUUUUAACCGGGAUGAUAAUGACAGUACCGGGAGAAUAAGCUCCGGCUAACUCCGUG